rnacentral:rRNA from 1 species
CCCUUAGAUGUUCUGGGCCGCACGCGCGCUACACUGAUGCAUUCAACGAGUUUCUUCCUGGUCCGAGAGGAAUGGGUAACCUUUUGAAAGUGCAUCGUGAUAGGGAUAGACUAUUGCAAUUAUUGGUCUUCAACGAGGAAUUCCUAGUAGACGUAGUUCAUCAGACUGCGUCGAUUACGUCCCUGCCCUUUGUACACACCGCCCGUCGCUCCUACCGAUUGAAUGCUCAGGUGAGCCAUUCGGACUUUCAUCAUGCUGGUUUCCAGUUUUGAUGAAGGAAAGUCUUGCGAACCUUAUCAUUUAGAGGAAGGAGAAGUCGUAACA